rnacentral:SRP_RNA from 1 species
CCUAGGAAGCUGGACCGCUUCCUGUCGGCUUUGACACAUUUCCUGUGUCCUUAUAUUUGCGAGGGGGAGACAAGCACCUCCACCCAGCUUAGUGUGCAAUGACACAGAAACAACUACUUCAGGCUGAUGACGAGCAAUGAUUCAGAAACAUGCCCCUGAAUGCACACUAGGCUGGGUGGGGGUGCUUGUCUCCCCCUCGCAAAUAUAAGGACACAGGAAAUGUGUCAAGGCCGACAGGAAGCAGUCCAGCUUC